CCUACGGGAGGCUGCAGUGGGGAAUAUUGCACAAUGGGCGCAAGCCUGAUGCAGCGACGCCGCGUGAGCGAUGAAGGCCUUCGGGUCGUAAAGCUCUGUCCUAAGGGAAGAAUAAUGACGGUACCUUAGGAGGAAGCCCCGGCUAACUACGUGGCAGCAGCCGCGGUAAUACGUAGGGGGCGAGCGUUAUCCGGAAUCACUGGGCGUAAAGGGUGCGAAGGCGGCCCUGCAAGGCAGGAGUUAAAUCCCUCGGCGCAAGCGAGGUCAGCGCUUGAGACUGUAGGGCGUGAGUUGAGGAGAGGGGAGCGGAAUAGGUAGUGGAGGGGGGAAAUGAGUAGAGAUUAGGGGGAACACCAGUGGCGAAGGCGGCUCUCUGGACGGCAACUGACGCUGAGGCACGAAAGGGUGGGGAGCGAACAGGAUUAGAUGCCCCAGUAGUC
rnacentral:rRNA from 1 species